GAGGGUAUAACUUGGCGGUAGAGUGUGUGCUUAGCAAGUACGAGGUCCUGGGUUGAAUCCCCAGUACCUCCA
rnacentral:tRNA from 1 species